GUGCCAGCCGCCGCGGUAAUACCAGCUCCACGAGUGGUCAGGACGGUUAUUGGGCCUAAAGCGUCCGUAGCCGGCCCGGUAAGUUUAUGGUGAAAUCCGGCAUCUCAAGUGUCGGAGCGCUGUAAAUACUGCCGGGCUAGGGAGCGGGAGAGGCCGAGGGUACCUCCGGGGUAGGGGCGAAAUCCUAUAAUCCCGGAGUGACGACCAGUGGCGAAAGCGCUCGGCUAGAACGCGUCCGACGGUGAGGGACGAAAGCUGGGGUAGCAAACCGGAUUAGAUACCCGGGUAGUCCCAGCCGUAAACUAUGCGGGCUAGUUGUCGGAACGGCUUAGGGCCGCUCCGGUAACGCAGGGAAGCCAUUAAGCCCGCCGCCUGGGGAGUACGACCGCAAGGUUGAAACUUAAAGGAAUUGGCGGGGGAGCACCACAAGGGGUGAAGCUUGCGGCUCAAUUGGAGUCAACGCCGGAAAACUCACCAGGGGAGACAGCAGUGUGAAGGCCAAGCUAACGACUUUGCCAGACGCGCUGAGAGGAGGCGCAUGGCCGUCGCCAGCUCGUAUCGUGAGACGUCCGGUCAAGUCCGGGAACGAGCGAGACCUCCAUCCUUAGUUGCAACCCUUAAAGGGGCACACUAAGGAGACCGCCACCGAUUAAGGUGGAGGAAGGAGGAGGCAACGGCAGGUCAGCAUGCCCCGAAACCCCUGGGCCGCACGCGAGCUGCAAUGGCAGGUACAAUGGGAUUUGACCCCGUAAGGGGAAAGCAAUCCUCAAAGCCUGCCUCAGUUGGGAUCGAGGGCUGCAACCCGCCCUCGUGAACCUGGAAUCCCUAGUAAUCGCGUGUCAACACCGCGCGGUGAAUACGUCCCUGCUCCUUGCACACACCGCCCGUC
rnacentral:rRNA from 1 species